rnacentral:piRNA from 1 species
UGGCAUAUGUGAGGCAGACCUACUCCAC